AAGGGGAAGCGAUAAGCCGCGAUAACAAACAAGUUGAAUGCAUGCGCGAGCGGGCCCCGCCCAACGGUCCUAUUACCCGCCCGAUGAUCGUAUGCCAGCCGUCCGAUCGGCCCUCCUCCUCCGGAUGCGACGAGACCCCGGUCAAAGCGUCCACCCAGGGAGGGGUAACCCUCACCGAGACGUGAUCACCGCCACGGGGUCCAUCGAGUCCGUUCGAGUAGGUGGAGCCCGACUAGCAGCGGCCGGUGCGCCAGCGCAUCGGACGGUUCCGAUGAUUAGAUGCGAUGAUGGGGGCACCGGGUGUUAGGGGGUAAUGAUUCCGGGUGUUGACGAAGGUGGUUUCAUGGUGCGCACGGGAGGGGGAAGUGGCCUGGCGGGGCGGGUAUGGUACGAGGAGGCGUCUCCGUGAGUUAUGGGCUGGAGGUGGGGCCCAUGCAAUCAUGGCCGUGGAUGGGCGAGGGGCAGGAACGCUAGCCGUCGAUUUGCGGUGGGGCAUGGUGUGGGGUUGGAAAGGCCGGGAAGAAUGGGGGUUGUGGUGGUCCGCGAGCAACGUAACGUGCGAUGGAAGUGGAUGAGAUCAUUCCCGAUGGCCACUCGUACCAACCGCCAUGUGGACCAUCGCAAGAACGCAACACUUACGUCGCGUUACGCACCUAAUGUUACGUUGUUGGGUCAUAUGACACCUCUAUUGCUCUUCUGAAAUAUCACCAAAGACACUAUUUCUAACUCUCAGAAAAUAAUAUGAAUAGUGAUGACAUGAUGAGUGACACGCCUCUCAAAGUACAGCGCAUGAUGUGAUUCUAAUGACAAAUGUGUAGCCAUAAUUGCUGGGAAUGUUGGAUGGAGGAGGAGAUGAUUAAGCAAUUAAAACUUGGCUUAACCACUCGCAUGUGCUCCGCACGUGCGUCCAACCAUCCAUCCAUCUUAUACGAUCGUGUGAGAUAUUGAUCCAAGAGUUACUUAAUCGAAUAGGAUAAAUGCGAGUAUCAAAAGGCAAGAAAAGGAAAAAUCCGACCCGUUUAGGCUCCUUCCCGUCGAAUUGGAUUCCGGGAUGGCGUCCGCUGUCCCGUGUUGGGGAGACUCCGGUCUUCGCUCAGGCUUUCGGCGGCUCUUUGAGGUCGUCUAUUUCGAUUCCCUUUGAUCCUUGUCUCCUCGUCCUUGUUGGGUUGUGUGUCUCGAUUUGGAGGAAGGGGAUACGAGAGGCCGCGAGGAGAAACUGGAAGCGGGGGAUUCGCAACGAAAGAGAAAACUUGAAGGAGCUGAAGCUACAGAUUACCUCCUGCUGCUGUUGCUAGUGUUCCAUUCAGUACCAGAAUCCGAGGUUCGUCAAGUCCUGCCGCCGCUGUCCUCUUGCAGAUUGAUAGAACAUGGACGGCACAGCUUAGCCAUCUCUUGACUCGGAUCGCCCCUUCGGAGCUCUCCACAGCUCAAGGCAUUGGUACUCCUGGUGAAGGAUCCUGAGAUCUCCCUGAUGAGAACCUCAACCUGCUCGUGCCGACCACCAACUUCCGAACCUGGCAAGAUGGCUUUCAGCUGCGACGCCAGUUCGUGCAUGACUCUUCCGUUCAUGUCCCGGAAACCCAUCCAUAGACGAGAAAGCCUCAGUUGACUCCUCUCAUAGAUUCUAACAUGGGGGGUAUCAAUCAAUGUAGGACACGAGGUGAUGGAAUCAAAGGGCGCCAAAGUUUCGUCAGCCACUGUGACAACACAACAGCACUGGCGCCUGGUUGAAGAUGGAUAACAUGGAAGCUGAACUGAGAGUUCACGUGGCGAACUGUUCUUUAGUGUCAGUCGAGCUUAAUAAGCAGCAACUCCGAGUGAUGUUUGAAUUGCUUGUGAAGCAUAACUCGAUGGAAAAGUAGAAUUGUAAUUCAUUACAAACGAAGCCAUAAGGGUAGCUACAAAGAAUGCGUAUCCUUUCUACA